ACAAAAACCGGCCACUUCUAACAAAAAAAACACUCCAAAGAAUCACAACACGCGCGCCAGCAAACGCCACCACAGACGAAGUCCCACAUAAACUUUUGCUUUUAUAAUAUUGAGUGUGAUUAGUGUAAUGCAGUAGAGGUCAGCGUAUAAACACUUUCAUAAGAAAAAGAUAAAUUAAAUAUUGAGCUUGCCUUUAAAUUGUCUGAAGACCCGCACUUGGUGGUGCACUGCGGCCAACCCUUUCUAAUUGUAAAGGUGCUCAGUAGUGAACGGCGAUGGGUUCAUGAUGAUGACGAAUUUAAAUUGAGUGGUCAAAAACUGUGGAGUUCCAACGUGUUCGUGACCAUUUUAGAUUAUGAGAUUAAAAAAAAAAAAAAAAAGAAUAUUAGCCAUGCUAAUCAUUAAUAAUACUCCCCUUUCCUCUCCAAUUAAGCGUAAAGCUUGUGUCAGGAGUGGGUACGACAAUAGUGCAACGGGUGGGAUUUGAACUGCCCCGACCUUUCGGAAUUCAGUCCGCUCCUCAACCGUUGAGCUAUCGAGGCUCUAUUGCGUGACAGUUUCUGAUUUACAAUUCUAUUGAACUCUAUUUAAAUUAGAUAAGGUCGAUAUUUAACUACUGUUACAUUUUAUACUACCUAUACUAUACAUUAAUUAUAAACAUAAUAUUAUUCAGUAAAUAAUCAGUGACGGUCAAGUCUGUACGACUACGAUAUUCUAAGUACAUAACAAUAAUCUCGUGAAACAUUUUCAGUGACAUGGUAAGCCGUGAGAGGUCGUGAUAUGUAGUAAUUAUUGUUCGAGUGCAAUACAAUACAACUAUAUGAAAUGUUUAACAAAUCUAAUAUCUAACACAGAGUAGGCCUAGUAUGAGUCUGAACAUUUUGACAACGUUACUAAGUUCGAGUAUCGAAGCAUUCUUAUGUCAAAUUAAAAUGGACCUACGCUUCCUUUUAUAAGGUACAAAAUCGUGCAUAAUCUACGCGAACGCCUCAAUUUCACUCGACCAGUGACUGUGGGUGUAGGUAAAUUUUAUACACUUUAAAUUGACCUAAAGCUUCACUACUAUAGACUUUGAGCUACGAUACUCGAAAUUUAUCAGCGUUGUCGAGACGUUCAAAUUCGUACUAGUCUCGCUUUUCUUCUAGUGCUCUCUAAACACGAGAUAAGUACCUUUUUAGUAUGGCCGCCGAGUCUGUCGCGCCUAGCCUGUCUAAGGAUGCUUGUUCACUAAAGCGGGGCGGCGCGGUGUCAAUCGAUCAACCAGAUUUUUGAGAGAUGACGUAUUAAUUUUAUUACAUCCUCUCUCAAUGAAAUCUGACUGGUUGCUACACACAUCUCCGCUCCAAUUAACAAGCAACCUUGGGUAAGAUCUAUACAGCGCACUUUGACUAAUCUGAUAUUUUAAAGAGGCGCUUUUACAGAUGACUUAUAAGCCAGCCCCAUCAUUACACACAAAAUUAAUAUCAAACUACGAUUAAAUCUCAAACUAUAAUGAUUUAAUUAAAAUUCAGUUCACAUGCUCUGUUUCUCACAAAUUAUUGUUGCGAACACAUGCCAAUAGCAAGGGAACAUUACAUAGACAUAAAAUGAGACAGAUUUAUAGUUUUUACUCUGUCUAAGUCUGAGCAAAAUAAAAGUGCGCUCUAUAGAUAGAUCUCAGCCCACUCUUCACAGUAAAUGGCAGUUGACGUUAACUUACUCUAUCGCCUCAGAAGUGUAACUUUAGAGCAGAACAAACUAGAAGAUUGGCGAAAACUUUAACAUAAACAAUUUAGGCAGGAUUUAAAUUACAGAAUAGAAACAAAUAAUUUCCCUUCUCUACAAACGCAACUGAGCUUUUAUCUCGACUGCCUGCCCUCUAAAGAGGAGCGGAGAUGGGUUCAGUAAAUCAAACAAUUUUAUAAUCCUGUCGAAUCGUGACACACAUCUCUAACUUUUCGCAGUUAAAUGCGUCUUAAGAAAUUAAAUAGCAUUUGCUGUAACAGUGAAGGAAAACAUCGUGAGGAAACCUGCAUGUCUGAGAGUUCUCCAUGAUGUUCUCAAAGAUGCGUUAAGUCUGCCGAUCUGCACUUGGUGGACAAAAAUUUGAAUGAUGACACUUCCGCUCCGCGUCGCUCGUCUCUGCUCCAAUGGACAGAUAGCCUUACUAUUGACUAAACGCAGAGUUAGCACAAGAUAAGUCAUAGUUAAUCCUCCACCAAAUAUAAUUUUAUUAUUACUACAUAAAAGGCAUCAAAACAAAAAUUUUGCGACCUGCUUGUGGACUAACCUAUUAGGGACACAAAGUCAAAUAUUCCCUGCGGCAAGACUAAAGCCUUGGUCACACAAUGCGAGACGGCGGCAAAGACAAUACGGACUUUGACGUUGUUAUGAUGAUGAUGAAGUACUUUUAUUCCCUCGUGGAAUUUAGGGCUACAGCAGUUAUUUUCUACGUCUCCCUGUCUUUGGUUACUGCUUUGACAUGGUUCCACGAGAGCCUCACUAUUUUAAGGUCUACUUCAAUGAGCAUACACUUUUAAGUAUUUAAAGCCGUACUGAUGAUACCGUGUCGCGUUGUCUUUGACCAAACCUCAAAUGUUGAUACAUAACUUUUGUGCUGAAACCAUACAUUCAUGUAGCUACACUAGGCGAUAUACACAGAUCUUUUACAGUAUUAUUUACAAUUACAACUAUAAAAUAUUAUAAUUUAUAAUCUACAUAAAUAUAGAAAUGAUUGAGCCAUAACGACAAAAUCAAAUUCGUAAAUUAUGGCGCGUCUUCACACUAGAUUUAACCACAUACAAGCGUAGUAUUUCCGAAAAUACUAUUGCUCUACAAAAUGUAGGGUAGACCAACCCCCUAACUUCUUAUUCAUAAAGAAAUUAAACUGUAGCCUUGGGUUGAAAUCUAUAGAGCGCACUUUGGUUUUGCUUAGAAUUAAGUUUCAAUUAAAACGAGACAGAUUUAUGCCAGCAGUAUAACGCUGUCUUGUUGUAACAGUGUCUUAAGUGUGAGCAAAGUCAAAGUGCGCUUUAUAUAAUUUCACUGUUUGAGCCGGCGCCGGCGGCGCGGCGGCGCGGCGCAAGUAUGACGAGGCGCAGCGCAGAACACUUUUUAUCGCCAAUCCAUUUUCGAAUUUGCUAACGUUAAUUUAAAUCGAAAAUCAAUUGACAAAAUCGACUAGUAGGUAGUUAGACUUUCUUCUUUACUCUCGGCGAUAGUAUAGUUGUGUUAAUUGGUUUUCGAUAUUACGAGUUUAUCAAUGUUCGUAAAGAUGAUAAAAGUUUGGCAGUAAAAAUACUUUCCUCUGCGCAUCGCCAACUUUGCAGAGACCGUUAGAGCGCGGACACGAAAGACUUUAUUAUUUAAAUGAGUAAAGCAAAAUUAUAUAAUUACGCGUGUAUCCAAUUUAUAUUAAGUUAACUUAUCAUUUACUGAUUAUUAUCAUUAUUAUUUAAAAUGUAAUAUUAUAAAGCAUUUUUGGUCGGUUCUGUUUUGUUUAUUGUUUCACGGAGGUAGAAGGAAUUUUUUAAUAGUUAAAAUAUAAUAAUAUUUACAUUCUUUAUCAAAUAAAUAAAUAAAUGACUUGUGUAGCUCGUGGCUGUAAAGAAACGAAUCGAAACGAAGCGGCGCUAAUCAUCCGUCCCACUCGCACAGUAUACACAGGUAAUGUGAGUGAUUGAGAGGUAAUGGUUAACGCCGCCAUUUGUCGUUUCGUUAUUGACGCGAGUUAGACAACAUAACAAUGAAAUAAUAAAUAUUAAUACCACCCCCGACAACAAUAAUAUAAUAAUAACAUUUUAUAUUUUACUUAGUUAAGUGUUCAUCCGGUUGAACAAGAAAGCUAAUCAAAAUGGAGAGGUCAGCAUGCUUCCGUGGCAAGCAUUGUUUAAGGACGGCCAUUACAUGUCACUUAGAUUUAGAUUAAGGCUGAGAUCUAUAGAGCACACUUUGACUUUGCUUAGACUUAAGAUGCUGUUAAAACGAGACAGCGUUAUACCGCUAUCUCGUUUUAACUGAAACUUAAGUCUAAGUAAAGUCAAAGUGCGCUCUAUAGAUUUCAACAUGAGAUCUUUUAGAGUAUACUUUGACUUUAAGCCUUCAGAGAAUGUUAAGAUGUUUAACUCUAAGAAAGUAUGAACAAAGUGUGCUCUAGCCAGAAACUCAUGGAAUAAGAGCCAGCGCGUGCCAGACCUUCGUUAUUUUAUAAAAGCUGAAAGUUUAUCUGCAUAUUGUCCCCAACACAUGGAGGAACGAUCAGCGACUAUGAAGUUUGGAUCAUGUUGGCUUUCAAGGAUACCUCUAAAUUAGUAUGCUAUUUCUUGGCUUCCUGUACAUUUUAUUGUCAAACAGAGAAAAGCAUGAUGGACAGUUUAUUAUGUACUUUCCAAACUAUAUAUAGACUUUAAUAUGAUCUUAUAUUAACAUAAUAUAAGAAAUAUAUUAUGAUACACUUACAAGAGCAUUUUAAAUUUAAAAAUAAAUACACAUAAAAUCACAUAACCUUAUUGUUAGAAUCAGUUUUAACUGAUAUUUACUUACUUGAUAUUUCACGUAUUAUAAGAUAAUAUUAUUACAGAA